rnacentral:lncRNA from 1 species
UGCCAUAACUCAGUUCACCCCAUUUGGGUACCACUCAGCAUCCUUCUGGGUGGAUGAGAGCAGUGGCUGCUGCGUAGAACCGCUUAUUUUUUUAAAGAGACAUCUCACAAUAAGACAUAAUACCUCAUUUACAGUCUUUUUGUACAUGCAGUUUAAGUGUUGAUGAGUAAAUUUUGAUAUGAAUCUUGACUCCACCUUUCUACUUGGAAUUUUCUGUAGCUGCCAGACCCGCAUCCUUUGUCCUGCCCGUCUGAGUGAACGUAAAAUGUGCAAAUCUUUAAAUGGGCAUAAACGUUUAGUUCAACAGCAGUUUGAUCUAUCGAGGCAGCUAAUCUGUAAUUUCUAGUUUCUGCUGAGUUUUAGAGAGUAAUUCUUUUCUUCUUAAAAAAAAAUCUUUUUGUACUAAGCCUUGGUACAUUCUCAGUCUUAUGAAAAGUAACAUAGAAAUAAAAGCUCAGUGUUUGAAAGAGAUUAGGGUGUGUUGGCCUUGAUGUCCCAGAUCCUGCAGUACAGGACAAUCCCCUGACAAAGACCACGUGUCAGACAGCAGGGAGACUAAAUGGACUAAUGCACAUCACUCCAGGAAGCCCACAGCCCAGCACUCUGACUCAGACACGCUGCCCCACAAAUCAAAAGCCCUUUAUACCUUCCUUAACAUUUAUGUAAAAGCAUCCUUGUAAGAUUUUUUUAGGUAAGGAAAUCCUGCUGUGGCUCAGUGGGUUAAGAACCUGACAUAGUGUCAGUAAGGAUGCAGGUUUGAUCCCUGGCCUCACUCAGUGGAUUAAGGAUCCACGUUCAUGUCAACACCAGAUCCUUAACCCAAUGGGCCAGGCCAAGGAUCGAACCUGUGUCCUCAUGGUUAUUAGUUAGAUUUGUUUCCCCUGAGCCACAACAGGAACUCCCUGAAGUGAUCAUUUUUAGCUUAAUCUCCCAAACCACAAUGCUGCCCAUAGGUCUCUCAUUCAGAAAAGGACAUGAGGAACUUACCAAAAUUCAUACGAUUAUUAGUAAGUAAAAAUAGCCUGUCCAUUGAACCUGAGAUUCCUAGCAGCCAAAGUAAAAAGAGAAACUUGUGGGGCUUCAAGGGUCAUGUAAAUAUAAACGUAGUCACUUAGGAGGGGCAGAGACGUUCCUCAUAUUGUGGUCCAAGAGACAUUAUUCCUAUAUAUCCUCAUAGACAGUCAUAUAGAAGACAAAAUUGUUUCUAUCAGCCUGGCAAUAACUGUAAAUUUUCCUCUCGAUGCUUUUGUUGCCUCCCUUUGUGCAUAUAGUGAUCACAGUGCUAAAAUAGAGUACGGAGGUACUGAGGGAUAAGUACCCUGCAAUUUUACCUCUCCUCUCUCUGGAUUGCUCUUUAAUGCUGUAAUACAGUCUCCAAAUGCUCCUACAUAAUACAGUAUUUUAAAUUAUUAAUCAAGUACAGUUUUUAAAAAUAUGCUCGGGAAAGACAACAAAUGAACAAUAAAAUUGUUAACUAACAAUACUUAGUCAAUAAAUAAUGAGAAGAUAGUUUUCUAUCACUGCCUGAACUGAAGUAUGUUUAUUCCCAAGUCCAGCAUUAGUGCUUUUCUCUUGAACCAUCAUUUUAAUGCUAUUGAUACUUAGCAUGUAGCCUCUGUGCCAGAACCUCGCAUUGUGGUUCUGUUCCUUGCAUCCACAUCAGCCCAUUUUACAUUCCAUAGUUCAUCUUGGAUUGAAUAGAUUGCUGCCAUAUAUGAAAACAUAAUUUUUUUUGUCUUUUUUUUUUUUUUUUUUUUUUUGUCUUUUUUGUUGUUGUUGUUGUUGCUAUUUCUUGGGCCGCUCCCGCGGCAUAUGGAAAUUCCCAGGCUAGGGGUCAAAUCGGAGCUGUAGCCACUGGCCUACGCCAGAGCCACAGCAACGUGGGAUCCGAGCCGCGUCUGCAACCUACACCACAGCUCACGGCAACGCCAGAUCGUUAACCCACUGAGCAAGGGCAGGGACCGAACCCGCAACCUCAUGGUUCCUAGUCGGAUUCGUUAACCACUGCGCCACGACGGGAACUCCGAAAACAUAAUUUUUUAAACAUCUUUUAAUCAGUGACCUGAGUGAAGGGUUGAAAGUUAAGGCCAGUGGCACAGAGAUGGCUUCUUAGUGGUUUUAGAGCAGCAGGCAGGAGGUACGGUAACCAACACAGAUUCAAAGUUCUUGUGGGAGAUGGGCAAGCAUGGGCCACAUAAAAGAAACAAAUGUCAGGUAGGCAGAUAGGUAAGCUGUAAGCAUCACGUGGCCAUGAGCCCAGCCUUUGGUCGUUUGACUCCAGAUGGCAUGUAAAGCACCAAGGUGCUCUGCUUAGAAACAGGAGAAUGAAUGGGGGGACUGCAGUGGGAUAGGGAUGGACUUAGUGAACCCAACUGAGGUGAUUGGUAACUUUGUCUCCCGUUAGGAACAGCAUCCCCCCAGCAAUUCAGAAUCUCUUAUGAGAAGACUGAAUCCAAGGUGUGCUCCUUUGGCUGAGAAAGAGUAAACAAUAAACGCUGCACAGGCAAGCGGGUGAAGUAAUUGCCAGACUGGGUGUGUGAUUCACGGAGAAGCAUUAAUGGAAUGUGGGUUAUUUAACCUGAAGAGAAGAAUAGGCUUUUCUAAACUAGUGUCUGAGGAAUAAUAUUUUGGUAAUACUAGAAAUACUUCACUUUAAUCUUGCACAUGGAAUGACUGAGUUUUGCAUGAACUUGUUAAUUAUGUAGGAUGGUGAAAUUGUACACAGUGCAAUAGAAUUGGGCUAGGGUUAGGCAGCUUACACGGAUUCUACAUAAUUUUGACAUCUUUUGAUCAAUGACAUGAUACAUGCGUGAGUGACUUCAAGUAUAUGAGUAGGGUAUACUUCAAGGAUAUACCUCCAUUAAGGAAAAAGGAGCCCUAAAUUAUGAAAGGAGAAAUAGAAUUAAAUUGCUUGCCAUUAAGGGGUUGGAAGAGGUCGAUUUGCAAGAAUAUGGUCCAUCAAAUAUUUGCCUGACACAUAGCAGUGACUUGCUUUUCAUUGCUAGCACAGUGUUGGCAGGUGAUAGUGCUUUAGUGAUCAGUACAGUUCUUACAUGGUGUACCAGUCAGGGGUUCCAGGAGAGGAUUAGAAAUGGAAAGAGAUAGGUGGAUAUAUAUAUAUAUGCACAUAUGGUAGAUAGAUGGGUGGAUGGAGAGACAAAUAGAUGGAUUUAUUGAAAAGAGUUGGCUUAUGCGAUUUUGGAGAAUGGCUAGGCAAGUACAAAAUCGGUGGUACAGGCCGUUGGGAAGAGCAGGCUGGGAACUCUUGGGCAGGUGGGAUUGGUGGAAUUUCUUCUUCAGAGAAACCUCAGUUCUGCUCCUAAGGCCUUUCAACUGAUUGCAUCAGGCCCACCGAGGUUACCCAGGAUAAUAUCCUUUCCAUAAGUCUCCUGAUGGUGGAUGUUAACAGCAUCUAGAAAAGAUCCUCACACCUAGGUUAGUGUUUGAUUGGGAAACUGGAGCCUGUAGCCUAGUCAUAUUGACAUAUGCACCUGGCCAUCCUAGGUAGAUGGUUAGGAUUGCAUUGGGGGCUGCCGGUAGGUCCCAAAAGCACCCACUUGGUAGCUACAGAGCGAAGGUCUGAAGCCCAGCUCUACCGUGUCCUAGUCCUGUGCCGGCCAAGCGUGUUUCUUCCUCCAUCUUUGCUUUAGUUCCUCAUCUAUAACAUGGGGUUAGUAAAAGUGACACUGUGGAGUUCCUAGGCUAUUCACAUGAAUCUCUGACGUGAUAGAAGAACACAGUUAAAGGCUUGGGGUACAGUUUAGAGAGUUUUAUCUUCAUGUUGUUUGGAAUGGCAUCAGAAGUGUAAGUAUGCCUAAAAAUUAACUGGAUGGAAUAGUCGGGAAGCAGUUGGAGUGUUUUGGUGCUGGGACUCUAAAAAGUUUCUUCUUAGGUCUCCAAACACACAUUAGUCAGGCCUGGUUUUAAUAUUUUUUUAUUGUGCCCCACAAAGAUUAUCAGCUUAUUUAUCAAACACAGGGAAUUGGGGGGAAAAAAGUGAAUAGGGCUGAUUCUCUGAUGGCAGUGGAAGGCAUGAUACAUGAUUACGUCUGUAGGAAUACCAAAUGGAGUCAUUAGGAUCUAUGCCACUGGUACGAGAACCAACUGAAUCCAUAAUGACGGAACUCUUAAAAUAAUCUAUUACUAAGGAUGUGAGGAAGUGGAGUGCUUAAUUUUUCUGUUGGUUUAUUACAGCCCUUAACAAGCACGGCUGGUAGUAAGUAGACAGUUAAAUUAAACUCAUGAAUAUCCGUCACAGUUUUUAAAAGAUGAAAUGGAAGCAAAAACCUUAUAUUGCUUGUUGGGAUCAAUGCAGCGAAGUAUAUGAAGCCCCUCUCCUCACGGGUCUGAAGCUGGGAGUAAACACACAAGAGCAAAGGGAAUAUCUCACUGGGGCCAGUCCUCCUUGGCACUUUACAGUAGGUAGCAGCUGGGAUGGUAAGAGAAGAAGCAGUAACUGAUAGAGGGUUUUCAUGUCUGAUGUGGUGGAGGGCAGGCGGAGGGGCAGGUAGGAAGUGUCUUGUCCAAAAAUGGGAGGCCGAUGUGCUGAGGACUGUCCUUGCCCUUGUGUGUGGAAGGUUACCAAGACCAAGGGGUUGUGAUGUCAGUUUCAGCAGAAGCUUUUUCCCAAACUAGCAGUUAGAACUGGCAGGAGCUUGAAUAAGCACCUUAAGGGCAACUCCAUGGAGAUGUGGGUGCCAGCAGGGAGGAGGAGCAGCAGAGCCUUCUGGAUGGCAUGUCACUGUCCGAUGUCCCACAGAAUUGUAAGCAGCAGAGUUCCAUCCCUCCUGUGCUGGCCAUGGGGGCACAUGGGGUAUGGGCAGUCCCAGCAUGGAGACCAAAGAGGUAGAAAGAAUGGGAGAAGCAAAUGUAGGAGAGCAAUAGCCCAGAGGAGGAAGCCACGAGGUGUGGAGGGAAAGGGAAGUAGCUGGCAGCAGCAAAGUGGAGAAUGGAGGAGAGGAAAGGCAGGAUGGUGGGGAGGCAUUCUGGAGCCACUGACCAGCAUGGCUGCCAUGGGGGAUGCAGGCACCAGGUGUGUGGGAAGGGCUGUGAUUCUAGACCCUAAAAGGUACCUGGGAAAGAGGACCAAACAGAUUAUGUUAGUGAUUGUUAGUGAUCCAUACAGUCUUGUAGAACCAGCCAUGGUCAUUUGGGACCUUCUUUCCCUCCCCAAGGGGGAAGGUGGGACGCCUGGGGAGUCUGGGGAAUGAGGCCAAGGCAAAGGAUAGUUGAAGAAACAAAACAAUGGAAAAAGGUAGGGGACCACUGCCACUGAUACUGCUUGCACCGAAAAUGUAUCAAUAAAAAAAAAGCCCUCUUGUAAGUGAAAACUCUAGAACUCUAGAGCAUGAAAGUAUUUCAGAUUUUAGGGCCCCAAACAGCUGUAUUAACUAGUGUUUGCCUCCCAUGAGAGUGAGAAAAAAGGAUGUUAAAUAAAUUAAUUCAAAAUCAAAUGAAAAGGGCUUCAAGCCAGAGUGUAUUUUUUGGAUAGAAAUUUUUCUCGGUACUCUAAAUUUAUCCGAGUGGAAUGCCUUUAUCAGUAUUGUCCUACUCAACCUUUAGAAAUGAAGGGACUGCCAUUUACUGGGAGAUGUGCCUUUUAUGGUGAAGACAGAACACGAUGACCUUGCUUCAUUCUUCUCCAGAAUCGAGAUACUGUUUUGCAUUGUGUGUUGAACAUAGAGGACACAGAAUUAUUUCAGAUCCGGUGGACCUGGCAUUUUUAUACAUGAAGAUCAAAGCUUGGGAAAUCCACAGCUUGCCUUCCCAGGGGACUGUCACAUGGCAAAACUAUCAGAGGUGACAUUACCAAUUUCUGGUUUCAUACUCGUGAACCCAUGAAGGCAAAAAUAAGUGGGGAGACAAAAGAUGUUUACAGAUGAAGGAUAAAAUUCAUAAAGAAGAUGCAUAAAGUGAUUCAUUAAAACUUAUCCCAUUUAAGCAACACAUAAAAAAGUGUGUCUUCAUUUAUAAAAGUUCUCUCUGCUGGGAAUAUCUUCUAAGGAUGUCCCCUAACAGAAGAGAAAUAAACUAGAGGAAGAGCUGUUCAUGAAACCUAUUUAGGAAGAAGGUUUGUCAUUGGCAGCCUCAGCAAGUUGUCAGCAGUUGUGAAAUUGGGCCUGUUCCCAUUCAGAGUGAUGGGAUUCCAGAUAAUAUUUAAGGGAUGUUUGGUCACAAUAAGAUACCCCAGACCUUUGAGAUGCAUCUGAUAUAGGUAAUGAGCUUAAAGGAAAACUCAGAGGACAAUCUAUUGCAAACUUUGUCAGAGUGACAUAGCACACCUUUCUUUUUUUUUUUAAUGGCUGCAUCUGUGGCACAUGAAAGUUCCCAGGCCAAGAAUUGAAUCCAAGCUGCAGCUGUGACCUACGCUGCAGCGAUGUCAGAUCCCUUAACACACUGCGCUGGGCUAGGGAUCUAACCUGCACUUCCACAGUGACCCAAACCAAUGCAGUUAGAUUCUUUUUUUUUUAUUUUUGUCUUUUUCUAGGGCCACAACUGUGGUAUAUGGAGGUUACAAGGCUAGGGGUCGGAUCGGAGCUGUAACUGCCAGCCUUCUCCAGAGCCACAGCAAUGCCAGAUUUGAGCCACAUCUUUAACCUACACCACGGCUCAUGGCAAUGCUGGAUCCUUAACCCAUUGAGCGAGGCCAGGGAUCGAACCACCCUCAUGGUUCCUAGUCAGAUACGUUAACCACUGAGCCACAACAGGAAUUCCUGCAGUUGGAUUCUUAACCCACUGAGCUACAGUGGGAACUCCAACUCCUCAUUUUAAAAUCUAGUUAAAAAACAAGAGUUCCCGUUGUGGCUCGGUGGUAACAAACCCUACUGGUAUCCAUGAGGAUGUGGGUUUGAUCCCUGGCCUUGCUCAGUGGGUUAAAGAUCUGGUGUUGCUGUGUGCUGUGGUGUAGGUUUCAGAUUCGGCUCAGAUCCCAUGUUGCUGUGGCUGUGGCUGGCAGCUUAGCUCCAAUUUGACCCCUAGCCUGGGAUGUACCAUAUGCUGCAGGUAUGGCCCUAAAAAGCAAAAAAAAAAAAAAAAAAAAAAAAAAAAAA